CUGGGUACCGGAGGGAGGGAGGCGGGCAGAGGAGGGGAGAUGGGCACCCCCAGUCUUUCCAUCCUCCUCAUUCGUCUAGGGGCACCCGAAUCCCCUAUUCCUUAUUUCCCCUAUCACUCAGGCACUGGCAGGGUCCUUUGCCCACUCCUGUUGGCCGCUGCGGCUCCAAAGCGAGGUUUGACCAGGCAACUGAAAAGACAUCCCUAAGAGAAGACAAAGCAAAGGUAUGAAAGGAACACACGUCCCUGACUGACUAGGAGGAACAGAGCUGCCUGCUAUCUGGAACAACUUCCUCCCAGACUAAGGUUUCCCAGAGGAAGAGAGAGAAUUUGGACAAAUGAAUGAGGAACAAUGCUCUCCUGAGAGUUUCUUUAAGGGGCGAGGGUCACUGCCACUAGCUCCUUUGAAAGCAGAAUUAAGAGGCAGUGCAGGAAGGCACAGCAGGAAGGCUUAUGGUUAGACUACAGAGAAGGAAACAGCCACUGCUG
rnacentral:lncRNA from 1 species